AUUUACAGUUAAGUUUGAGUCCAGAGGCACCAGACCCCACCUGAUCUUGGAAGCUAAACAGGGCCAUCCCUGUUUUGUACAUGAAUGGGAGGUUGCCAAUGAAUCCCAGGUGCUGUGGAUA
rnacentral:rRNA from 11 species